rnacentral:rRNA from 1 species
AGCGAACGCUGGCGGCAGGCCUAACACAUGCAAGUCGAACGGAUCCCUCGGGAUUAGUGGCGGACGGGUGAGUAACACGUGGGAACGUGCCCUUUGGUUCGGAACAACUCAGGGAAACUUGAGCUAAUACCGGAUGUGCCCUUCGGGGGAAAGAUUUAUCGCCAUUGGAGCGGCCCGCGUCUGAUUAGCUAGUUGGUGAGGUAACGGCCCAUCAAGGCGACGAUCAGUAGCUGGUCUGAGAGGAUGAUCAGCCACACUGGGACUGAGACACGGCCCAGACUCCUACGGGAGGCAGCAGUGGGGAAUCUUGCGCAAUGGGCGAAAGCCUGACGCAGCCAUGCCGCGUGAAUGAUGAAGGUCUUAGGAUUGUAAAAUUCUUUCAGCGGGGACGAUAAUGACGGUACCCGCAGAAGAAGCUCCGGCUAACUUCGUG